rnacentral:rRNA from 1 species
GAUCAUGGCUCAGGAUGAACGCUAGCUACAGGCUUAACACAUGCAAGUCGAGGGGAAACGACAUCGAAAGCUUGCUUUUGAUGGGCGUCGACCGGCGCGCGGGCGAGUAACGCGUAUCCAACCUGCCCAUCACUUGGGAAUAACCUUGCGAAAGUAAGACUAAUACCCAAUGAUAUCCCACGAAGGCAUCUGAAUGGGAUUAAAGAUUUAUCGGUGAUGGAUGGGGAUGCGU